rnacentral:rRNA from 1 species
GUGAGGAAUAUUGCGCAAUGGAGGCAACUCUGACGCAGCCAUGCCGCGUGCAGGAAGAAGGCGCUACGCGUUGUAAACUGCUUUUAACCGGGAAGAAACCCCAGGACGUGUCCUGGGUUGACGGUACCGGAGGAAUAAGCACCGGCUAACUUCGUGCCAGCAGCCGCGGUAAUACGAAGGGUGCAAGCGUUAUCCGGAUUCAUUGGGUUUAAAGGGUGCGUAGGCUGAGCGUUAAGUCAGUGGUGAAAUCCUGCAGCUUAACUGUAGACGUGCCAUUGGUACUGGCGCUCUUGAGUGCGCUUGAAGUGGGCGGAAUGUGACGUGUAGCGGUGAAAUGCUUAGAUAUGGCACAGAACACCAAUUGCGAAGGCAGCUCACUAAGGCGAUACUGACGCUGAGGCACGAAAGCGUGGGGAUCGAACAGGAUUAGAUACCCCUGUAGUCC